rnacentral:rRNA from 1 species
AUUGAACGCUGGCGGCAGGCCUAACACAUGCAAGUCGAGCGAGCGGCGGACGGGUGCGUAAUGUAUGGGGAUCUGCCCGAUAGAGGGGGAUAACUACUGGAAACGGUGGCUAAUACCGCAUACUAUCGGAUGAACCCAUCUGGGAUUAGCUAGUAGGUGGGGUAAAGGCUGACCUAGGCGACGCUCCCUCGCUGGUCUGAGAGGAUGCCCAGCCACACUGGGACUGAGACACGGUCCAGACUCCUACGGGAGGCAGCAUUGGGGAAUAUUGCACAAUGGGCGCAAGCCUGAUGCAGCCAUGCCGCGUGUAUUAAGAAGUCCUUAGGGUUGUAAAGUACUUUCAGCGGGGAGGCGUUACCCGCAGAAGAAGCACCGGCUAACUCCGUGCCAGCCGCCGCGGUAAUAC